CAGAGAGGAGACUCGUAGCUGUGAGUCGAUUUGCUGGGAAGACCUGCAUGCUGUCAGCAUCACGUAUCUCCAAAGUCUGCAGCCUGCUUGGGGCAGAGACAAAGAUGUACUGCAUGAAAAGUAGCACAAAGACAGAACUUCCUUAAGAGCAGAUUACAGAUAAAUUCCAUGAGUCUCAAAAAGGUUUAAGAAAAGCGAAUAUAGAAAGAAACAGGUUAGCGUCAGUAAACAUGAAUCACCUUGGGAACAGAAGGGUCUGCUUCCUCUGUGUGCAGCUUGUCUCUGUCACAAGUUAUCUGCAGGUAAGACUGAUAAAUAAAUUAGCUACUCAAAAUGAAAAUCACACACUCCCUUAAAGAAGCACCCUGUUCGAAGAAGGAAGGUUAAGAUAUGUGACAAAAAUGCAGUAUACAAUGAUGCAAAGGGAAAAAUUCAAACCUCUUCUCAAGAUUAAAAAAAAAAAAAGAAUUAAACUCAAAUCCUUACAAGUGGUUGAAAAAGAUCUCAGGAAACCAAAGGCAUCUUCAUUUUUAUCUCCUUUGAUUGUUAUUGGCAAAAAACUGAUAAGUGUUUGCCUUUUGUCGAUUUAAUAUAAAUAUCUAACAUCUAAAUGGCCUUAUAUUUCCCAUCCAUUAUGUGACUAUAAUGUAGUAACUGUAAUUUGAGCCCCCAGAGGAACAAAAACGUUGGAACAGACCAUGUGUGGCCACCACAGCCUUUGCAGGUUGUAGGGUGAGGUCAUACCUGCCAUCAUAGGAGAAGCAUGAGGUGAAUUAACUUCUCCUAUGAAACUGAAGCUCCCUUUCAUGAACUUAAUCCUCAGGAUUGCUAAAUCUGGGGAUAGAAAUUCACCUGUCAUCAUCAUAAUGUGGCCUCAGGGCAAAAGGUGAUACCACCUUGAAUAUGAUUACAGCACAAUGUCUAGAACAAAAUGUUUUACUCAUCAGUCACUCAUUCCUCCUCUAUAAAAUGGGGAUAAGAGUCCAUGCCUUAUAGAAUUUUCAUGAAGAAUAAAAUAGGAAUAUUUACACUUAGAAUCCUAAGUAGUCAUUCAUUAUUUCUUGAAAUAGAGUCAAAUGAUGACCUUUGCUCUGAGUAUGAAAGGACACGUUUGUAUCAGG
rnacentral:lncRNA from 1 species